rnacentral:rRNA from 1 species
UACGUAGGGUGCGAGCGUUGUCCGGAAUUAUUGGGCGUAAAGAGCUUGUAGGCGGUUUGUCGCGUCUGCUGUGAAAAUCAGGGGCUCAACCCCGGACUUGCAGUGGGUACGGGCAGACUAGAGUGUGGUAGGGGAGACUGGAAUUCCUGGUGUAGCGGUGGAAUGCGCAGAUAUCAGGAGGAACACCGAUGGCGAAGGCAGGUCUCUGGGCCACUACUGACGCUGAGAAGCGAAAGCAUGGGGAGCGAACAGG